rnacentral:rRNA from 1 species
CUUGGUCAUUUAGAGGAAGUAAAAGUCGUAACAAGGUCUCCGUUGGUGAACCAGCGGAGGGAUCAUUACAGAGUUGCAAAACUCCCAACCCUUUGUGAACGAACCUACCAGUUGCCUCGGCGGCGAGCCUUUCAGGCGGACCGCCGAAGGAAUACAAACUCUUUGCAUUAUAGUAUCUCUGAUUACUUAUUCAAUAAGUUAAAACUUUCAACAACGGAUCUCUUGGUUCUGGCAUCGAUGAAGAACGCAGCGAAAUGCGAUAAGUAAUGUGAAUUGCAGAAUUCAGUGAAUCAUCGAAUCUUUGAACGCACAUUGCGCCCGCUAGUAUUCUGGCGGGCAUGCCUGUUCGAGCGUCAUUUCAACCAUCAAGCCCUAGGCUUGUGUUGGAGCCCUGCGGCUGCCGCAGCCUCCUAAAAACAGUGGCGGGCUCGCUAUCACACCGAGUGCAGUAGUUUACUCUUCGCUCAGGGCGUGUGGCGGGUGCUGGCCGUGAAACCCCCUACUUCUUAAGGUUGACCUCGGAUCAGGUAGGAAUACCCGCUGAACUUAAGCAUAUCAAUAAGCGGAGGA